GACGAACGCUGGCGGCGUGCUUAACACAUGCAAGUCGAACGAAGUGGCGAACGGGUGAGUAAUACGUGGGUAACCUGCCCUCCCUUUAGGGAUAAGCCUUGGGAACUGGGUCUAAUACCGAAUAGAGGGGGAUGUGCUCGCGGCCUAUCUGCUUGUUGGUGGGGUGAUUGCCUACCAACGCGUUGACGGGUAGCCUGCCUGGGAGGGUGACGUGCCUGAUGGGGGCUGGGAUGCGGCCCAGACUCCUACGGGAGGCAGCAGUGUGGGAUAUUGCACAAUGGGCGAAAGCCAGUUGCGGCGACGCCGCGGGGGGGAAGAAGGCUUGCGGGUUGUAAACCGCUGUCGCGAUCGAACGGGGAGGUGGAGGAGAAGCGCCGGGUAACUGCGUGCCAGCAGCCGCGAUAAUA
rnacentral:rRNA from 1 species